GGCGGCUGCGGCGGGCGGCCGGCCCGGCGGAGAAGGCCAGCUUCCGCGGAGUUUGUGCCCUGGGCUCCCCGGCCUCGACCGCCCGCCUCCCGCGCACUAAGAGGGACGGGGGGUUGACUGGGUCGGCGUGUCUGAGGACGGUCAAUCUCUUAAAAGGAAAGUGGUCAACGCUGAAACUCGGGUCGCCCCCGGAAUUACUUAGUUCCUAGAGUCCGACCCGCCGCCAGCCAGCACCGAGAGGAAGGAGGAGGAGGAGGAGGAGGAGGGCGACGACGACGAAGAGGAGGAGGAGGAGGAGGAAGAGGAGGACA